UAGAGUCUGAUGUUCUAAUUAUACAUGCUAGUAGUCUGAUGAUCAAACCAAUAGCUAUUAGUCUGAUGUGCUAAUAGCAUUUCAUAAUAGCAUUUAUGAUUAGAACAUAAUUGUGGUACUUUUCCAAGCUUUAGGCUCAGGUUUAACAUAAAUCCCAUGAUGCCACACAGUACAUCUGAACCUGGACUUUCCACAGCUUGUUCUUACCUGAAGUGUUGAAAGGGACAAGAUGGAGGUUGGGGAGGGAAGCUGUGGAAUAUGAAGUAGAAAUCUAUAAUAUAGAAAUCUUUUAAGAUUUCUAUGUUAUAGUUGAAAAUUUGAAGUGCAAUUCAAGGAAAACCUAGAUUAAGUAAUAUUUUGAAUCAGAUUUCUUAAACAACUGAGCUAAAUCUGUCGUUUUGCCCUGCUAACAGAAAAAUGUAUCAAGACCGAUGGGUUUAAAUAAAGAAACAUGCAACACGGGGCAAGCAGAGGAGGUAGUCUAAGAUCUUUUAUUGGGAAUAUAGCUUCAUGUGACACAAACAGCAGUAAAACAAGCCUGAUUUAGACAAAUGCUGACUAUGAUCAGUGAAAAAGGUUUCACACACCACAUUA